rnacentral:rRNA from 1 species
GUGGGUAGUUUGACUGGGGCGGUCUCCUCCUAAAGAGUAACGGAGGAGCACGAAGGUUGGCUAAUCCUGGUCGGACAUCAGGAGGUUAGUGCAAUGGCAUAAGCCAGCUUGACUGCGAGCGUGACGGCGCGAGCAGGUGCGAAAGCAGGUCAUAGUGAUCCGGUGGUUCUGAAUGGAAGGGCCAUCGCUCAACGGAUAAAAGGUACUCCGGGGAUAACAGGCUGAUACCGCCCAAGAGUUCAUAUCGACGGCGGUGUUUGGCACCUCGAUGUCGGCUCAUCACAUCCUGGGGCUGAAGUAGGUCCCAAGGGUAUGGCUGUUCGCCAUUUAAAGUGGUACGCGAGCUGGGUUUAGAACGUCGUGAGACAGUUCGGUCCCUAUCUGCCGUGGGCGCUGGAGAACUGAGGGGGGCUGCUCCUAGUACGAGAGGACCGGAGUGGACGCAUCACUGGUGUUCGGGUUGUCAUGCCAAUGGCACUGCCCGGUAGCUAAAUGCGGAAGAGAUAAGUGCUGAAAGCAUCUAAGCACGAAACUUGCCCCGAGAUGAGUUCUCCCUGAGACUUAGAGUCUCCUGAAGGAACGUUGAAGACGACGACGUUGAUAGGCCGGGUGUGUAAGCGCAGCGAUGCGUUGAG